AACGAACGCUGGCGGCAUGCUUUACACAUGCAAGUCGAACGGUAACAGGCCGCAAGGUGCUGACGAGUGGCGAACGGGUGAGUAAUGCAUCGGAACGUGCCCAGUCGUGGGGGAUAACGCAGCGAAAGCUGCGCUAAUACCGCAUACGAUCUAUGGAUGAAAGCGGGGGACCGUAAGGCCUCGCGCGAUUGGAGCGGCCGAUGUCAGAUUUGGUAGUUGGUGGGGUAAAGGCUCACCAAGCCAACGAUCUGUAGCUGGUCUGAGAGGACGACCAGCCACACUGGGAGUGGGACACGGCCCAGACUCCUACGGGAGGCAGCAGUGGGGAAUUUUGGACAAUGGGCGCAAGCCUGAUCCAGCAAUGCCGCGUGCAGGAAGAAGGCCUUCGGGUUGUAAACUGCUUUUGUACGGAACGAAACGGUCCUGGUUAAUACCUGGGGCUAAUGACGGUACCGUAAGAAUAAGCACCGGCUAACUACGUGCCAGCAGCCGCAGUAAAAC
rnacentral:rRNA from 1 species